GAUGAGCGCUGGCGGCGUGCUUAACACAUGCAAGUCGAACGAAGCAUUUAGAACAGAUUAUUUCGGUAUGAAGUUCUUUAUGACUGAGUGGCGGACGGGUGAGUAACGCGUGGGUAACCUGCCUUGUACUGGGGGAUAGCAGCUGGAAACGGCUGGUAAUACCGCAUAAGCGCACAAUGUUGCAUGACAUGGUGUGAAAAACUCCGGUGGUAUAAGAUGGACCCGCGUCUGAUUAGCUAGUUGGUGAGAUAACAGCCCACCAAGGCGACGAUCAGUAGCCGACCUGAGAGGGUGACCGGCCACAUUGGGACUGAGACACGGCCCAGACUCCUACGGGAGGCAGCAGUGGGGAAUAUUGCACAAUGGAGGAAACUCUGAUGCAGCGACGCCGCGUGAGUGAAGAAGUAAUUCGUUAUGUAAAGCUCUAUCAGCAGGGAAGAUAGUGACGGUACCUGACUAAGAAGCUCCGGCUAACUUCGUGCCAGCAGCCGCCGUAA
rnacentral:rRNA from 1 species